rnacentral:tRNA from 1 species
GGUGGCUCAGUGGUAGAGCGCUUGCCUUGCAUCCAUGAGGCCCUGGGUUCCAUUCCUCAGCACCA